AUACGUAGGUGACAAGCGUUAUCCGGAUUUACUGGGCGUAAAGGGCGUGUAGGCGGUCUUGCAAGUCAGAAGUGAAAUUCCUGAGCUCAACUCGGGCGCUGCUUCUGAAACUGCAGGACUUGAGUGCUGGAGGGGAUAGCGGAAUUCCUAGUGGAGCGGUAAAAUGCGCAGAUAUUAGGAAGAACACCGGUGGCGAAGGCGGCUAUCUGGAAAGUAACUGACGCUCAGGCGCGAAAGCGUGGGGAGCAAACAGGAUUAGAUCCCCUGGUAGUCCACGCCGUAAACGAUGAAUACUAGGUGUAGGGGGUAUCGACUCCCUCUGUGCCGCAGUUAACACAAUAAGUAUUCCGCCUGGGGAGUACGGCCGCAAGGUUGAAACUCAAAUGAAUUGACGGGG
rnacentral:rRNA from 1 species